rnacentral:rRNA from 1 species
ACGGAAGGCAGCAGUGAGGAAUAUUGGUCAAUGGCCGGAAGUCUGAACCAGCCAUGCCGCGUGAAGGAAUAAGGCCCUAUGGGUCGUAAACUUCUUUUGUGGUGGAGCAAUAAGGUGCACGUGUGCAUCGAUGAGAGUACAUCACGAAUAAGCAUCGGCUAACUCCGUGCCAGCAGCCGCGGUAAUACGGAGGAUGCGAGCGUUAUCCGGAUUUAUUGGGUUUAAAGGGUGCGUAGGCUGUUCUUCAAGUCAGAGGUGAAAUACCGGGGCUCAACCCUGGAACUGCCUUUGAUACUGGAGGGCUUGAAUACUGUUGCCGUGGGAGGAAUGAGUAGUGUAGCGGUGAAAUGCAUAGAUAUUACUCAGAACACCGAUUGCGAAGGCAUCUCACGAAGCAGCGAUUGACGCUGAGGCACGAAAGCGUGGGGAUCAAACAGGAUUAGAUACCCUGGUA